rnacentral:rRNA from 1 species
GAUGAACGCUGGCGGCGUGCUUAACACAUGCAAGUCGAACGGUAAAGCCCUGCUUGUGUGGUGUGCCCGUGUGGCACGCGUGUGUGUCACACGUGCGUCACCUCCCCUUGUCUGUGGGAUACCUUCAGGACACUGGCUCUUAUACCGUAUAAGCGCCCCUGCUGCGUUGUGGGGUGUGGAGAUUUUCUGCGGUGGGGGAUGGUCUCGCGGCUUAUCAGCUUGUUGGUGGGGUAGUGGCUUACCAAGGCCUUGACGGGUAGCCGGCCUGAGAGGGUGACCGGCCACACUGGGACUGAGAUACGGCCCAGACUCCUACGGGAGGCAGCAGUGGGGAAUAUUGCACAAUGGGCGGAAGCCUGAUGCAGCAACGCCGCGUGAGGGAUGACGGCCUUCGGGUUGUAAACCUCUUUUGGCAGGGAAGAAGCGAGAGUGACGGUAACUGCAGAAGAAGCGCCGGCUAACUACGUG